AGUGGGAUAGCUAGGUCAACUGGCGGUUCCAGUCCAAGCUUUCUAAGGAAUCUCCAAACUGCUUUCCAGAUUGGUUGCACCAAUUUGCUAUCCCACCAGCCAU
rnacentral:pre_miRNA from 1 species